UACGAAGGGUGCAAGCGUUACUCGGAAUUACUGGGCGUAAAGCGUGCGUAGGUGGUUUGUUAAGUCUGAUGUGAAAGCCCUGGGCUCAACCUGGGAACGGCAUUAGAAACUGGCUUACUAGAGUGCGGUAGAGGGGUGUGGAAUUCCCGGUGUAGCAGUGAAAUGCGUAGAUAUCGGGAGGAACAUCUGUGGCGAAGGCGACACCCUGGACCAGCACUGACACUGAGGCACGAAAGCGUGGGGAGCAAACAGG
rnacentral:rRNA from 1 species